GCACCUGAGCACGACUGGUUAUUUUUCCAAUCAGUAAAAAUAUUCCCGCUGACUAGGGACUAAAGAAAGCCCUGCGGAUAGAGCCGGAGCUCCCCACCGCAGCUGCCCCGAGGGAGCCCAGACGCUUCUCAGGGGACGCUUGCUCCCCUCAUCACAUCUGGUUGGGGGAGGGUGAGGAUGCGUUAGGGAGUAGGCAUUGGCCUGUGUGGGCCAGCUAACAAAAGGAGGGUUUAGGCAUUGAAGAAAGUGACAAGUGAAGGCUCCCUCACCGGAACCACCACCAUCCCCAUUGCCCCGGUUCCUAAUCCUGUAGAGCUGCUGUGAUAGGCGUUUACUUUUCUCUUCAACGUGGAACUGGCCUAAGUUACUCCUCAAGAGAUGCUUUUCUUUUGGUAGAUUCUUGAAGUCCUCAAGGAAAGAGGAUGUUACACGGAACUUGACACUAGCCUGGGGACUGUUACAGGGCCAGCCCACGGCUUGUCAAAUCACACCUGGUACCGUCAACCCCACCUGCAUCUAAGACUCAGUGUGCCUGGCAGCGAGUGCAUUUCAGACUUUGCAUUUCCACUUUAAGACUCAAAUAGCCCGCACCAGGGCAGAUGAUUUGCCAGCGCCUUCUCUUAAGUGCCUUCAAUAAACAAGUACGGUAAUUACAGAAGAGUUUGAGGCUUUGGGCAGCACUAAUCAACCAAGGUUUUUGAGACAUCUGUGGACAAAACAAAGUGCCCUGCCCUCAAGGGAGCCCACAUUCUAACAGAGCAUAUUGACAUUUUUAAAAGGUGAGUAGGAUUUUUAUAAAUUUGAUGAGGGGGAAUUGCAUUUCAUUCAAAGUGAACAGCAUCAGCAAAGACAUGGACUUGUGCAUAGGCAUGUCCUGUUUGUGGAUCACCAAGUAGCUCCAUGAAGUGUAGAACACAUGAUGAGGACUGAAAGGGCAGCUUGCUGUCAGGUUGUGACCAGAGAAAUAUGAGUUUUUCCAGAUCAGAACUAGCAUCUUGCAAAGUUAGUACUGAAGCUUAGUAGACAUCUUCACCUGGAG
rnacentral:lncRNA from 10 species